GAUUCGUCACACUAUCAUUAACUGAAUCCAUAGGUUAAUGAGGCGAACCGGGGGAACUGAAACAUCUAAGUACCCCGAGGAAAAGAAAUCAACCGAGAUUCCCCCAGUAGCGGCGAGCGAACGGGGAGGAGCCCAGAGCCUGAAUCAGCAUGUGUGUUAGUGGAAGCGUCUGGAAAGGCGCGCGAUACAGGGUGACAGCCCCGUACACAAAAGCGCAUGUGCUGUGAGCUCGAUGAGUAGGGCGGGACACGUGGUAUCCUGUCUGAAUAUGGGGGGACCAUCCUCCAAGGCUAAAUACUCCUGACUGACCGAUAGUGAACCAGUACCGUGAGGGAAAGGCGAAAAGAACCCCGGCGAGGGGAGUGAAAAAGAACCUGAAACCGUGUACGUACAAGCAGUGGGAGCCCCACCACUAAGCCAGUGGUGAACUCCACAUCCGCAUCCUUUGCUGAGGAUACGGUUAACGGAGCGAAAGCGACGUUCAACCGCAAAACAAGCAGAGGGGGCUUAGUGGUGGGGUGACUGCGUACCUUUUGUAUAAUGGGUCAGCGACUUAUAUUCUGUAGCAAGGUUAACCGUAUAGGGGAGCCGGAGGGAAACCGAGUCUUAAUUGGGCGUUAAGUUGCAGGGUAUAGACCCGAAACCCGGUGAUCUAGCCAUGGGCAGGUUGAAGGUUGGGUAACACUAACUGGAGGACCGAACCGACUAAUGUUGAAAAAUUAGCGGAUGACCUGUGGCUGGGGGUGAAAGGCCAAUCAAACCGGGAGAUAGCUGGUUCUCCCCGAAAGCUAUUUAGGUAGCGCCUCGUGAAUUCAUCUCCGGGGGUAGAGCACUGUUUCGGCUAGGGGGCCAUCCCGGCUUACCAACCCGAUGCAAACUGCGAAUACCGGAGAAUGUUAUCACGGGAGACACACGGCGGGUGCUAACGUCCGUCGUGAAGAGGGAAACAACCCAGACCGCCAGCUAAGGUCCCAAAGUCAUGGUUAAGUGGGAAACGAUGUGGGAAGGCCCAGACAGCCAGGAUGUUGGCUUAGAAGCAGCCAUCAUUUAAAGAAAGCGUAAUAGCUCACUGGUCGAGUCGGCCUGCGCGGAAGAUGUAACGGGGCUAAACCAUGCACCGAAGCUGCGGCAGCGAACGUAUCACCCAAGACAACUUUACGGAGUUGACGAUUGACGGAGCGAAGCGACGUCAAAGCGUUCAUUAAAGUCGAGUUGGCUUAGGGAUACGUUCGUUGGGUAGGGGAGCGUUCUGUAAGCCUGUGAAGGUGUGUCGUGAGGCAUGCUGGAGGUAUCAGAAGUGCGAAUGCUGACAUAAGUAACGAUAAAGCGGGUGAAAAGCCCGCUCGCCGGAAGACCAAGGGUUCCUGUCCAACGUUAAUCGGGGCAGGGUGAGUCGACCCCUAAGGCGAGGCCGAAAGGCGUAGUCGAUGGGAAACGGGUUAAUAUUCCCGUACUUGGUGUUACUGCGAAGGGGGGACGGAGAAGGCUAUGUUGGCCGGGCGACGGUUGUCCCGGUUUAAGCGUGUAGGUGUGUGUUCCAGGUAAAUCCGGUUCACUUUAACACUGAGGCGUGACGACGAGGCACUACGGUGCUGAAGCAACAAAUGCCCUGCUUCCAGGAAAAGCCUCUAAGCAUCAGGUAACACGAAAUCGUACCCCAAACCGACACAGGUGGUCAGGUAGAGAAUACCAAGGCGCUUGAGAGAACUCGGGUGAAGGAACUAGGCAAAAUGGUGCCGUAACUUCGGGAGAAGGCACGCUGACACGUAGGUGAAGUGAUUUACUCAUGGAGCUGAAGUCAGUCGAAGAUACCAGCUGGCUGCAACUGUUUAUUAAAAACACAGCACUGUGCAAACACGAAAGUGGACGUAUACGGUGUGACGCCUGCCCGGUGCCGGAAGGUUAAUUGAUGGGGUCAGCGUAAGCGAAGCUCCUGAUCGAAGCCCCGGUAAACGGCGGCCGUAACUAUAACGGUCCUAAGGUAGCGAAAUUCCUUGUCGGGUAAGUUCCGACCUGCACGAAUGGCGUAAUGAUGGCCAGGCUGUCUCCACCCGAGACUCAGUGAAAUUGAACUCGCUGUGAAGAUGCAGUGUACCCGCGGCAAGACGGAAAGACCCCGUGAACCUUUACUAUAGCUUGACACUGAACAUUGAGCCUUGAUGUGUAGGAUAGGUGGGAGGCUUUGAAGUGUGGACGCCAGUCUGCAUGGAGCCGACCUUGAAAUACCACCCUUUAAUGUUUGAUGUUCUAACGUGGACCCGUAAUCCGGGUUGCGGACAGUGUCUGGUGGGUAGUUUGACUGGGGCGGUCUCCUCCUAAAGAGUAACGGAGGAGCACGAAGGUUGGCUAAUCCUGGUCGGACAUCAGGAGGUUAGUGCAAUGGCAUAAGCCAGCUUGACUGCGAGCGUGACGGCGCGAGCAGGUGCGAAAGCAGGUCAUAGUGAUCCGGUGGUUCUGAAUGGAAGGGCCAUCGCUCAACGGAUAAAAGGUACUCCGGGGAUAACAGGCUGAUACCGCCCAAGAGUUCAUAUCGACGGCGGUGUUUGGCACCUCGAUGUCGGCUCAUCACAUCCUGGGGCUGAAGUAGGUCCCAAGGGUAUGGCUGUUCGCCAUUUAAAGUGGUACGCGAGCUGGGUUUAGAACGUCGUGAGACAGUUCGGUCCCUAUCUGCCGUGGGCGCUGGAGAACUGAGGGGGGCUGCUCCUAGUACGAGAGGACCGGAGUGGACGCAUCACUGGUGUUCGGGUUGUCAUGCCAAUGGCACUGCCCGGUAGCUAAAUGCGGAAGAGAUAAGUGCUGAAAGCAUCUAAGCACGAAACUUGCCCCGAGAUGAGUUCUCCCUGAGACUUAGAGUCUCCUGAAGGAACGUUGAAGACGACGACGUUGAUAGGCCGGGUGUGUAAGCGCAGCGAUGCGUUGAGCUAACCGGUACUAAUGAACCGUGAGGCUUAACCUUACAACGCCGAAG
rnacentral:rRNA from 1 species